AAAAAAAAAAAGAGAAAAGCACGUCAAAGCCACUCAUGGGGCUCUGCAACAUGAAAAACAAGUGCAGUGGCAUUGCAAGAUGGUCUUGAGAAACAGGUUGUUGAUACAACUGGAUCAAGGGUGUGCUGUUGCCUAACAGUGUUAAUAGGCUGAUGCAAGUGCCUGCAGCUGCUGUGCCACUGACACCCCGGGAGCUGCAAUGAGAUUCACUUUGAAGCAGUGCUGAGGAGCUCCAGGAUUUAAGUCGAGACGGAGCCUUUGCAUGAGAUGCAGAUGUGUGGUCAGGUGUUGCUGGGUUUGCUCUGCCUCUCUCUCAAUUGCAGGCUUUGAUUUUCCAUGCUGUCUCUAGGAACACUGGUGUGCAGAAUCCUGAAUUUCAGGAAGGAGAAUGCGUGAAUUCUCUGUUGGCUUUGCCUUUCCUUAAGCAGUCAUGUGGACACAGAGAGAACUGAAUUGUACACUAAUUUCUGCUGUCUCUGUGCCCUAUCCACCAGGAUGCAGUUAGUCCACCAGUCGAGGUCUAGUGAAUUUCCAGCUAUUUGCUGCACACAAAAUAGCCAGUUGACAACAUCCAGUGCUCCUCUUCUACCUGUAGAAACUGGCUCUGGAGCAGCAGAAAGACACUGCAUUGACUGCAAUGUAGAAUAAUCUAGAAAGAAGAUUUAAGCAUAAAUGGGAACCUACCUGCAUCCAGACUUUGGGAAAGAGGAAAAAUCUUUCCAAGGAGGGGAAGUGUUGCUGACCCCUCUUUGCUCUGAUAUGCAACAACUUGCAGGCUGUGUCUCCUGGAGAAAAUUCUGUGUGCUCCCCCAGCCCUGUGAUGUGAAGUCACUUGGUUGAGUACUGAAGAAUGACCGUCUGGCAAAGAAGUUCAUGCAGCUGUAUGGGACACCAAGGAACUGUGACAUUUGGGUUGGGGCACUUGCAGAGUCCUUUGUGGAUGGAGGAAGGGUUGGGCCUCUCGUGGCUUGUCUCAUUGGCACGCAGUUCAGGAACACACAUGAUGGGGACAGGUUUUGGUGGAAGAACAGAGGGGUUUUCACUUCCCAGCAGCGCUCUUCACUGGUCAAAAUCUCCUUGUCACAAAUAAUAUGUGACAACACCCGCAUCUCUAAAGUGUCAAGAAAUACCUUCUGGGCCAACAGAUAUCCUGACUCCUUUGUGAGCUGCAGCAGGAUCCCAAAGCUGGACCUCAGAGCCUGGAAGUAAAAGUGGAUGGAGGAAAGUACCGAGCAAGGUAUCAGCCUCAAAGAGCAGACAGUUCCUGCCUGCAAGCAAGUGCAAAUCUCUGCAAUCAUUAACAGCUCAGAAAAUCCCAGCUGAGCUCUGCCCCCACGUCCCCUGAGGAUGUUAAGUCACGUUUUCCAUAGGGCUGUGGCGUUAUCAGAUUGAAGGUGUGACAAGGUGCCUCCGUAAAUGCCACCCUCAUAGGGCCAGAAGAAGAAAGGCUUGUUGGGCUGCAGGAAGCCGUCGGCAGGGAGGGAUGUCCAGAGCAAUCUCCUGCUCAGUGCAAAGGCAAUGCCUGAGCUGUUGGGCCCUCCUUUCCAGCUUAACCCAUGGAAAUGAAUCACACAAGACAGCUAUGGCGUGUCCUUUUCUGCUUUGUUAACACACGGUUUUUCAUGUCCUGCAGAAGAAGCAUCUGGUGACUGAUAAUGCAGAAUGCUGGGGAUUCCCCAGAAGCCUGGCUUCGGGAAGAUACUGAGAUGGAUUCUUUAAUUGUUUGGUUGUUUAUUUUUCUGUGUCUAUGCUUGCUCCAUGUUUGCAUGAAGUCUUUCCAAAGAUAAGGAAUCCAUUGAUAAGGAAACUUCACGAAAAGAUACUCCAGAUCUGUGCAAACUGCUCAGUAUCACAAAGCAAACCAAACCAACCGUGUGCUUUAGGCAGUGACACACACAUCGGGCUCGACUGGAAGAGAUGUGUGAGAUCCUCAGAGACAAAGAAGAGGCGUGGAUAACAAUUUCUCCCAGCGCUUGGCCAAGACAUUAAGGUAGCAAAAUGCCCCAGGUGUGUAGGCUGACAAACAUCGGCCUGGGCAUGCCUUGAAGACAGAAGGGUUCUCACAUGCAAACAUGCCCUGGCAGUGGGUUGAAGCUCACUGUCUCCUUGAUAAGUUCCUUGUGCUGAAGGAUUCGAGGGAGUCAACAGAGGUGAUGGGCGUGAGAUGCCUGACUGCACUGGGGAUGUUUGUCUCAGUCUCUGACUUUUGUUUUCUAGAAUUGGUAACACAUUUUUGUAACACAUAAUUGGAUGCAUUCGUUACCUUUCAACUUCAGCAAUUAACUUAAUGAAGAUGAAAUAGAACAGUUCAAUCAGAAGAGACCUGCAAAGAUCAUUGAGUCCAAAUAAUUGGCUCAAAAUCACCCACAAUCCUUCUGUAUGCACUAAGCACAGAGGACUUAUUUUCACAAUUUCAUCUGAGUGCAAAGCCGAAAUGUGGAAAACUGAAUCAAGCUUCUUAGGCUGAUCAAACUUCCUAUCAAAUGCACGAACUGCACGCACCGCAGGAUCAGGGCUUUGCAGGAGAUUCCCACUAGAUAGAGAAAAAACAUUCUUCCCCAUCAUAACACUGCGAUGUUGAAACAAGGACUAGAGAGUUGUUGGGAUCCCCAUUCUUGGAGUUAUUCCAACCUCACCUAGAAAAGGCUCUGAGCAAAUCUGUGUGGUGCUGGGAUUCACCAUGCCCCAAGCAGCUGGUUGGACUGCAGAUCUCCAAGGGUUGUAAAUUUUUCUACAUGAUUCUUUGAUUUACAGUGAUAACCUGUUCUAUUUUCCAGUUCUCUUGGCUGUCCUGUGUGCUCUCUCCUGGUAUGAAAGUCCAGAGCACAAGCUUUUCUGUCACAGAUGCCAGAGGAAGCUUCAUGAAUCAGCAUAUAUUUCCUUGUGGAAACACUUCUCUUUCUAUCAUUAAUGGGAAGUUCCAUCUAUUUGUUCACUCAUAAGUAAAAACGAAGAGCUUAUCUGUGCCUUGUACAACUGGGUUAGAUGUGGAUUCAUCGUGGAGCAACAGCUGGAGCAUGAUGGAGCAGCUUCCUCAGUCUCCCUUCUCAAAAUAUUUACCCUGCAACCUUCCAAAGCUUUUAACAUUAAUACUGAUGUCUGUAUAGCUGAGUUCCCUUUACUACCACUCUCCUUUUGAGGACUGAUGUGGUCCCUGGCAGUGAGCAGUCCCAAUACUUGGCCUUUUGAUCACUUGUUCCAAUCUGUUCCAAUGGAGAAAUUUGUGCCAGCAGUUUCCAGUGGGAACUGCCCCCAUUCCAUUAUCCAGUCCUCUGAUUUCAUCUUGAAAUAAUUCCUUUCUCGCUUAGAAGUCAAUCAUGAUCUUAACUCCUCUGUCCAGGUUUGCUUUACUGACAGCAGUCAGAUCUCUUUUAAGCCUUCUUUAAAGAUAAUGGGUAACUAGUGAUAGGAUGAGAGGGAAUGGCCUCAGGUUGUGCCAGCAGAGGUCCAGGCUCAAUGUUAGGGAAAACUCCUCCAAAAGAGUGGUGAUGCCUUGGCACAGGCUGCCCAGAGACGUGAUGGAGUCACCCUGGAGGUGUUCAGGGAAAGGGCAGAUGUAGAACUUAGGGACAUGGUCAGUGGGCUGUACUGGUGGAUAGUUGGACUGGAUGACCUUAGCG